AUACUCCGCACGUAGUAGUUCCUUCAUAACUUCCCAUCCCAUAGCAUUUGCUACAGGUAAAGUCAGGGAUUUGACUCGGCCGUUCCACCAAGUCAAAUCCUUAUCUGUGAGCGUACAGGCGGCAAAUUUCACCUUAUCAGAUUCCGAACAGGCGCAAAUCUCGAAGAUAGAUUCGAUUCUCUCUAACCACCGAGUUAGAGCAAUGACACCCCCUGUGCCAUCGAAGAAUGUCGGUUUUGCAUUCAUGAAGUCUUUAUAGGAACACUCCUUCCGGUGUCCUUGAUUACCUUCUUGGUUUUGGUUUUGGGAACCACCUCCUGAACCAUUGGGGUUUAGUUGAGGUAGGAGAGCUGAUAUGGUGGCAGAAAUGGUUGCCUGAAGUGUUUCUAGAUCGAUUUGAAGAGGAGGUGGUGGCGGCGGAGGGUUGUUGGUGUUCUUUGAGCUGGGUCUUUUCCUCGGAGGCAUCUUGAUCUAAAAAGAUCAGGAAAGGGAGGAUCAUAAGUCCUUUGAAUUGAAUCAUGAGAUAUGGAUCAGGGGAUAUCUCAUCAAGACAAAUAUAACAUUAUAUUAAGCGAUAAAGUAGGAAAGAGUUAUCAAGGUAGAUAAUUUUAUCGCUAGAGGAAUGAUCAAGGAACAACGCGUAUACGAGGAUUUCUACAAAGGAUCGGCUCGAGAAAUACUCCCAUAGUAUUUCAUGGUUCGUUGCAGCGACGACUCGUUGUUUGGGAUAUUAGGUAAGUUUUAGGUAUGCUGCGUACCACAGUCACUCCCAAGCACAUGUUGGCCGUGUCUCGAAUGAAUAUAGUUGGCCAGGCUAUAUUGAUCCUAGACACGACUACAUAACUGCCCAGGUUUAACCGCAGUGUACAACACCCAUUUACUUAUAUUUUGUUCUACUUGUAGUUACGGAUUUCGACGGUCGGCAUACUUGUAUACUUUAGAAAAUACUUAUAUUCGUAUAGUAUACUUUUAGGUUAGAGCACUUAGGCCCCUUUAAUGUUUAUAGUCUUAUACCAUGUAAGCUUUGGUAUACCAGUUCACUAUAAACAAGGGCUCUGAUACCAAUCUGUCACACCCCGAAAACCAAAGGCGGAAACAUUUCCGGGGUUGACUCCACGUUGAGUAUCAAAUCCAAUGCACAUAGUAAAGCAGUAAUCACAAAACAUUACAUUACAUAAUAUUGUUUACAUCUGUUUGAAAGUAAAGUUGUACAAGUGUUUUACAUAUGUAAUAUAAACAAAAGUAAAGACGAGUCUUCGGGACGCUCCGUCUUCUCCAAAAGGUUGCGGUGUACCUGUCUAUCGCUGACCUGAGAAUACAAGCAGUUUGAAAAUCAGCAUAAAGCUGGUGAGUUCAUAAGCGGUUUAGUUUUGAAAAGAACGAGUUCCUUUACUUUCUGGAAAAGUUGUUGAUCAAGAAAAUCCCAUAUUUUCUUAUGAAAACGGUUUGGUUAUCCUUUGUUACAAUUUCGAAAACGGUUGGUUAUGUCAUUCCAGGAAAAUCCCAUAUUUUCCUUAUAGUUUUAGUUAUUCGUUUGUUACUUUAUCCGUUUAUGUGUUGUUGUACUACCCAGGAAAAUCCCAUAUUUUCCUUAGUGUUGAGUUGCCUAUUUGUAUCUAAGUUCGUUACUGGUUGUUAUGUUAUCCCAGGAAAAUCCCAUAUUUUCCUAUGUGUUGAGUUGCCUAUUUGUAUCUAAGUUCGUUACUGGUUGGUUCUUAGGUUUGAUUUCGAAGUACUAGUAAUUACCAUGUGUAUAGUAUUAGUUAAGUAUUCUAAACCCUUAGAUAUUCUACAUUCGAAUGACUAUUAUCUACUAACUUAGUUGUAUUUUCGAAUAUUUGGAAUCACACAGAAGCGUACAUUACAGUAUUUUUGAAGUUCUGUUGAGUUCCAAAAGAGUACAUUAGUUGUAUAAUCGAAGCUCUGUCGACAUUUUGAGGCGGAUAUAUUCGAAACUCAGAAGAGGUCCAGAGGCGUAUUUUCGUAUUUAAUUCGAAACUCUGGUGACACUCAAGGGGUACACUAGCUGUAUAUUCGAAGUCUUGGUGUCAUCCAAAGGCGUUAAUUCGCAUUCGUAUUCCUAUUUCUAUUCGUAUUCGUACUAUGCUAUUUGUUAGAUUCGUAUUCGUAUUCGUUCUAUCCUAUUAGUUAUAUUCGUAUUCGUUCUAUCCUAUUAGUUAUAUUCGUAUUCGCAUUCGUAUUCGUACUAACCUAAUAGUUAUAUUCGUAUUCGUUCUAUCCUAUUAGUUAUAUUCGUAUUCGCAUUCGUAUUCGUACUAACCUAAUAGUUAUAUUCGUAUUCGUUCUAUCCUAUUAGUUAUAUUCGUAUUCGCAUUCGUAUUCGUACUAACCUAAUAGUUAUAUUCGUAUUCGUUCUAUCCUAUUAGUUAUAUUCGUAUUCGCAUUCGUUUAGUAUUAAUCUUAGUUAUGAUUAGUAUGAUUUCUUAUUCAAAGAGAAUAUAGUUAUAACACUUUUAAAAGAAAUCUAUGUUUAGUCUAACUGUUUAACCUGCAAUUCGAACCAUUAGUUAUCACAAUUUUCAUUAUUAAAAUCAUACAUGAAAUAAAACAUUUGAAAUGAAAAUACGUUUAAGUACAAGAUUUCUUGUACUUUUGCUUGUAUUCCCCCCUGAAAACGUUGAAAACCAUUUAAAAAGGGUAGGGGUAUGAACUCACCGGACGCGGAAAUGUGACGAUUUCGGACACUAAACGUCGGUUCGGGGCCUGAUUACUCGCGAUGUCCCUAUGUAAAAUGAAAUAAUGUCCAUAUAUAUCUAAUUAGAUUUACAAUCACUAAUUAUAUGGAACAUUAUACUCCAAUGAGAUUAAACACCUCAAAACGAGUGUUUGGAGUGACCCGGGUGACAUCUACGGACGUGUAAUGGUACUAAGGACUUGGGAUUUGAGUUUACUCCCCAAGAGUAAACAUUUUAGGGAGUUUACAACCAUAAAACACAUACAUACAUGAGUUCACGGCCGUGAACUCAUGUUGGUGUGAUUUUGAGUGUUUAAUGGCUUGAUUGGACUUGGGGAAUAUUUGAAUGGACUUCUAAAAUGCCUUGGAAUAAAAUUAUGGGACUUAAACCAUGUUUAAGGGAGUUCACAGCUGUAAACUUGGAGUUUACGGCCGUAAACUCUCCCAUGGUCUAGAAUAAUUAUUUUGGGGCACAAGGAACAAUCACAUGUGAUUCUAGCAAUUUUUCCAAGCCUUGGGGUGAUUUUAGGGCAUCAUUUGACACAUAUUUGGGAGUUUACGGCCUACGGGUAUGAGAUAUGGCCGUAAACUCUUAUAUGUUGCAUUUUGAUAUGUUUAAGACCCCCAAACUAUUUUUAGAUGGUCCUAGGAUUUACCACAAGGCUAUUGGUUGAGUUUCAAGGCAUUUGGACAUGUUAAAAGGGGUUUACUCUCCAUUUUUGAGGGGUUUACGGCCUAAGCAUGUGCCUUGGCCGUAAACUCCCAUUUACUCCUCAAAAAUUAUGUUUGUGAUGUUCUAAGGCCAAUACCAUUAUUCUAAAAUUCAUAUCUAAGCCUUGUUUGAGUCUAGGAAGGGUUUAAGGGCUAAAAACCCUUUUAAUUUAGUGUUUACGGCCUAGGCACCUUCCUGGGCCGUAAACUCUUUCAAAUCCCUCAAAAUCCAUGUCUAAAAUGUUCUAAGUCCAAUCCAUGAAGUCAUUUAGCCAUAUCUAAAAUCUAGUUGUGGUUUGGAAGGGUUUUGUUGCUCAAAAACCCCCUUUAAAUGAGUUUACGGCCUAGGAUAGUUCUAGGGCCGUAAACCCAUGAUAAUGGUCCUAAUCCAUGGUUUAAACUCGAAUUUGAAGGCUAGAGGGGUUGUAUAGCAAGUUAGGGAAGUUACCUCAAAGAUUUGAAGCCUUAAAUUGAUGAUUUGGACCCUUAAACUUGGAUUUAGGAGAGAGGUUAGAGAGAGAGUAGAGAGAGGAAGCAAAAGCUUCAAAUGAAAGCUUAAACACGUUUAAAUAGGUCCCAAAACUUGGACACGGUGGAAUUCUACCCGAUACCGGCAUUAAACGGGGCUUUUGGUCGCACCCGAUUAAGUUUCCGUAACUCGACGGGGACGUUUCUAAAAUUUCUGAAUUAUACAAUUUGGGCUAAUUUCGUGAGUUCCUAACAGGUUUGGACACUCAUUAGCAUCAAUUAAACAUAUAAGUUUAAUUAAUUUAACCCAAAAACGACAUCGGAACGAAUUGAUAUACGGCGAGUUAUACAGGUAGAAUGGGUUUUCAGCGAUGAACAACUUUGGGUUGUUACAUUAUCCCCCCGUUAGAGGGAAUUUCGUCCCGAAAUUCAAUGAUUAAGAUACAAGACAUGAAUUUGAAUGGGAUACGGAUGGAUUUGCUGCUUCGGGUUUUCGCGCUCCCAAGUGACAUCGGGUCUCCGCUUGACGUCUCAGCGAACCCUCACUAUCGGGACGCGUCUUGAUUUCGUUAGGUAGAUACUUCUCAAAGACCGAGACGUGAAGUAUCAGAUGGGUGCUACUAAGUUCCGAGGGCAAUCGAAGUUUGAAGGUUACGGAAUCGAUUUCACAAGGGUCGCGAAGGGUCUAAUGUACCAUGAGGGAAGUAUUUCGCUUUUCCAAAGCAUUCCAUGUUUUCCCUAGGAUAAGGCUUCCAACAGAAAACAAACUCCAACAAGAAGGUACAUCUUCAUGUGGCAGAGUAACUAAGGGUUUGAUGAUCCUGAAAGAGAAUUCUGGGACCUGUGGGUUAUGGGCCCACGGGUAUGGCUGCUUUGUUUACUACAAGAUCAAGGAAAAUGAUUUGACUGAAGGGUACCACUACGAACUCGUGGUGAUCACAUCAGGUCCUGGUCGCUGUAUUGGAUACAUCAUCUUCCAAAGGUUCGGCUACGAGGUAGCUCCAUGAACUAGAUUAGUAUGAGACUUGACUAGAUGUUCACAAAAGAAUUCUCGAGGAUUCAUGGAAAGGCAUCGGGGAAAAAGUUACAGACUUCCCGCUUUCCCGAAUAUCAUACGGACGGGGAAUGUAUGGAAAAACUUUCUAAGCUUUCGAAGACAAGACUAACCGCAUGAAUGAGACUAAGUUAUUCCAUGCCUAGUUUGCACCAAAGUUUUCUAUGAAAGGUUUACCUUUAGAUCAAAUGGAAAGGGAUAACCAUCCGAAUUGAGGAUACGAUCUAAGGGUAUGACGUUAACGCUUUCUUUCUCACUAGUUGGUCAUCUCGACAGUGCACGUUUCGAUUAUUAACAAAGGAUUUAAUUUAAAAAGAUAUUUGAAUGAAUGGUUAACAAAUCCUUUCAUCAUUAGAAUCGAAAAGGAUUACAGGCACAAGAUUUAUCGAAAAGAAGUAUACAUGUGGCAACGGUGGGAUCGGCGGCUGUCCUUUCUUGCCCCAUAGUUAGGACUCUGCCGGUGUUUCCAUACAUUACUGUUUUUGGACAGUUUCGCUUAUAGUGCCUGACCUCUCCACAGCUGUAGCAGGUUUGACCGACACCAGCUCCGGAAGCUUGACUAGUUGACGGGGUUGGGGUUUUGCAUGUUCGUGCGAGAUGACCUUCCUGGCCACAGCUUCUACAUAACUUUGCACGACAAGGACCAGGGAUGCGAUGGUGGUAGUUACAUCGGUCACACCACGGGAGGGUACCGACAUAUCCGGUAACAGGUACUUGGGAUGUGGAAUUGACAACAGAAAUAGCAGCAGGGAUAGUGGCAGCGUGGACUGCCACUAUUUGCUGUUUCUUCGAGGGUUCUGGGGAAGACUGACUCUUCUUCUUCUUUCUCCAAAACUUUCUUUUCUCGCCACUCUUUUCUGUUGGCUCGGGAGUGGUGCCUGCUUCCUCUUGAUCAUCAUUGUGAUCGAUCAAAGUUUGAGCCAGACACUUGGCGCUGUCAUAGGUAUCCGGCUUCGCUGCUAUAACAUUCCCUUUGGUCGGCUGAGUUAAUCCCCAGAUGAACCUUUCUACCUUUUUGCUCUCCGGGGUAACCAUUCCCGGACAGAGAAGUGCCAAGUCGUCAAACCUAAAAGAGUAAGUGGCGAUAUCGGAACCUUUCAUCUUCAGGUUCAAUAGCUCAUGUUUCAGCUUUAGGAUUUCACCCUGAGGGAAAUACUCCCCACGUAGUAGUUCCUUCAUAACUUCCCAUCCCAUAGCAUUUGCUACAGGUAAAGUCAGGGAUUUGACUCGGCCGUUCCACCAAGUCAAAGCCUUAUCGGUGAGCGUACAGGCGGCAAAUUUCACCUUAUCAGAUUCCGAACAGGCGCAAAUCUCGAAGAUAGAUUCGAUUCUCUCUAACCACCGAGUUAGAGCAAUGACACCCCCUGUGCCAUCGAAGAAUGUCGGUUUUGCGUUCAUGAAGUCUUUAUAGGAACACUCCUUCC
rnacentral:lncRNA from 1 species